rnacentral:lncRNA from 1 species
CUGUGUGAUAAUUAUUUUAGAUCACACUGUACAUUGGGAGUAGGGAUCUGUGAACACGUUCAGCAGUUAAUUUUAAGAGGAAGCUGUCUAAGCAUUAUAAGGAGCUGGAUGUAGGAUAAUAUAAUUGUGUUAUAUAUUAUAUAUAUUAAUUUGCACAAUAUUCCUUUUGCAUUCAUAUUUAUGUGGGUGCACUGGCCUGUCACUCACUCCUUCUCCACUAGGAGGCAGUCAAGCCCCACUUUUAACUUGAACACUCAAGAGCCAAAUCCACAACUCUGCUGCAAAUCGUAUUGACCAACCACACCUCAUGGGUAUGGCUGAGAUUGGUCUGACUCAGUGGUGCUAAUAUUAGCUCUGCUUUAUUGCUGUCUGCUGGGUUUAGCACGCUGCUGUAUUUAAGCAUAUAAAAACUCUGCCUCUGCUUCUAACUUUGUGUUUCUCUGUCCUUUUGCUCCCUCUCUCGCUCUCUCUCUCUCUCUCUCUCUCGCUCGCUCCUGCUGCUCUCUCCUUUGACAGGCAGGUGUGAGAGUGUGAACAGACUGCCCUGGAGGGGGAUAGACGGUGACCCCAAACCGUGAAUCUCUUGGCCUCUUCAGCCGGAUCCUGUUCCGAGUGCUCGCGCCCGCAGACAGCCCGGAGAGUGGCCCCACGUCAGCCCUCAUCAGCUUUAUUUGAAAAGCUUCCUCUCCUUAAUGAGAGGGAGGUUUGCCUAAACCUCAUAGCGAGCCGACGGGUCCAGGUGCAGCUGAGGUGCAGCUCCGGUGGCGCGUUCGGUGGCCGCCGCUCGCCGAGGUUCGCCAGGAUUCGAAAGGGAGCUCGCAGCGGCCGGCCAGAUGAGGACGGCGGAGGACGAGGACCAAAGAGCAUGCGUCAGCCCUGUCUCUCCAACCCCCCCAUGCAGUGGAGAUCAAAACUUUGUCCUGUGGCACAUUGUCUUGCUCAUCAUCGCGCUCCAGUACAACACCUGCAAAACUGCAGAUGCUUAUUACUCCACCUCGAGCUCCAAGGUACCGACUCUCGCCGCAGCUGUUUCACAGUGGGCUGCGAACUGCUCCAGUGCAUGCUGAAACUAAUGAAUGUUGAUGUAAUGAAGCCAACGGAACCAAGUCGUCUGCACAACUGCUCUUUUUUUUAAGAAUGCAGCAACAACGGCUUGCAACCAACCAACAACUGCAGAUUCCACCUCUCUUUUCUUACUCACGUGCAGUAACCAGUGCGUUUCCUUCGCUCUGGGGACUGAAGGGCUCAUUAACCCUUCCUGCACACAUUUCUGUUUCAUUUUCACCUGCUUGCCAGCACUAAGCCCUUUUCAUCCAUAAAACACAUACUCUCAUCCACAGACAGCUACAUGUGCCCUCAGCCCUCCCCGACCCUCUGGGAGCCAACAGGGCGCAGCGCCGCCUCACCAAAGCCCGCUUGGCCGUGUGACAACAUGACCGAGGCCGGGCCUG